rnacentral:rRNA from 1 species
CUCAAGUGGUCAGGAGGAUUAUUGGGCCUAAAGCAUCCGUAGCCGGCUCUGUAAGUUUUCGGUUAAAUCCAUGUGCUCAACACAUGGGCUGCCGAAAAUACUGCAUAGCUAGGGAGUGGGAGAGGUAGACGGUACUCGGUAGGAAGGGGUAAAAUCCUUUGAUCUAUCGAUGACCACCUGUGGCGAAGGCGGUCUACCAGAACACGUUCGACGGUGAGGGAUGAAAGCUGGGGGAGCAAACCGGAUUAGAUACCCGGGUAGUCCCAGCUGUAAACGAUGCAGACUCGAUGAUGCAUUGGCAUAUAGCCAGUGCAGUGUCGCAGGGAAGCCGUUAAGUCUGCCGCCUGGGAAGUACGUACGCAAGUAUGAAACUUAAAGGAAUUGGCGGGGGAGCACCACAAGGGGUGAAGCCUGCGGUUCAAUUGGAGUCAACGCCAGAAAUCUUACCCGGAGAGACAGCAGAAUGAAGGUCAAGCUGAAGACUUUACCAGACAAGCUGAGAGGUGGUGCAUGGCCGUCGCCAGCUCGUGCCGUGAGAUGUCCUGUUAAGUCAGGUAACGAGCGAGAUCCUCGCCACUAGUUGCUAUCAUUAUUCUCAGGAAUAGUGGGGCGAAUUAGUGGGACUGCCGUUGUUAAAACGGAGGAAGGAGGGGGCUACGGCAGGUCAGUAUGCCCCGAAACUCUGGGGCCACACGCGGGCUGCAAUGGUAGCGACAAUGAGCUCCAAACUCGAAAGAGAGUGGCAAUCUCUAAACGCUACCACAGUUAUGACUGAGGGCUGUAACUCGCCCUCACGAAUAUGGAAUCCCUAGUAACCGCGUGUCAUUACCGCGCGGUGAAUACGUCCCUGCUCC